UACGAAGGGGGCUAGCGUUGUUCGGAUUCAUCUGGGCGUAAAGCGCACGUAGGCGGAUCUUUAAGUCAGAGGUGAAAUCCCAAGGCUCAACCUUGGAACUGCCUUUGAUACUGGAGAUCUUGAGUCCGGGGGAGGUGAGUGGAACUGCGAGUGUAGAGGUGAAAUUCGUAGAUAUUCGCAAGAACACCAGUGGCGAAGGCGGCUCACUGGCCCGGUACUGACGCUGAGGUGCGAAAGCGUGGGGAGCAAACAGG
rnacentral:rRNA from 1 species